CCUGUGGACCCCCUAAACCAGGGUGAGCAACCCUCCCAGGCACCCCGGGACUUUUCAGUGUUGUGAUGGCCCUUUGACUCCCCUCCCUGGCCGUCUGCAGGGGAGGGGGGGUACUGACAUUCCCUGCCUGUACCUUGGAGCCACGUGGGGGGCAGGUGACGCAAAGGGACCAGAUCCACUGGCCUGGACGAUCAGAGCACUCGGGGCAGCGAUCUCUCUGCUGAACCUCGUUGCUUCACAACGUGCAAGAUUUUCUUAACAUGCGAUAUAAAAGAAGGAUUUAGAAGACAUGCUGAUGUGAUCCUUUCCAUGAGUAUCCGUGAUCUGCAAACACAUGCAGUGUUUCAAAACCUUUCUUCAAUUAGUAGUUCUCACUCUGUCCUCUGCCUCACCGCCCCCGUGUAAACUCGCUCCCUUUAGAACACGUGUGACCCCCACAGUGAGUCUCUAGAUGGAGGGAGGGUUUGGCGGUGGUGCCUGGAGCUUUGACAUUUGAAAAGGCCCCUCAAGAGCCGAGGGGUGUAGGAGAGGAAUCCUUCCCCUCCCCUCUGUUUCCCUUGAGAAUCACUCUUAGUCGGGUGAAGCCGGCACCCCCAAAUCCUCCCAGCUUACAGCGCUGAGAGCUAUUUGAGAAACCAGUGUAGGCUCCUCUCAGAAGCAGAAAGGCCUGUGUCCUCAGAGAUCAUGAGUCCAUCUGGUGUUCCCACAUUUCCGUGCUAACCUCACCCAGGCCGUGCGAAUGCCUUGUGGAUGAUGAUGAUGUCACAGGCCUGGCAGAGUGACUGCGGCCCGCACGAUCUACCAGCUCCAGAGGUCCCUGCGAACUUGAGCGAGCUUGCUUUGGGCCCCGGUAUAAAUGGCAGUGCAUAGGAGUGAAGAGAAGGUCAAGCCUGGAUGCAUUUCCUGCCGUCUGCGGAUUUUUUUUCUCGACACUGCCUGUGAGGAAUUAUGCACCAACUCCACAAAAGCCACCGGCCCUGCUCCUGUCACAUCACCACCCAGGAGCCACCAGCUACCAACGGCUGCCAGGGCCCCAGCCAUCAUCACGGAGGACUUCGGCAGUAAGAUUGUUCUCUAAAUGUCACUGUCUACCCCCUCACCGUGCAAGUUCUUUAGUCUGUGCUGGUGCCUUAAAAGCUUCUGCUGGCUUUGUGUUGAGCAAGCCUCGUCUCUACUCCAGGUGGAUCUGGUAGUUUGAUCGGCGCAAGGCUGCUGCUUUCCCUGUAGACACCGAAAAGUAGACUUUCUCACUCUCCCGGCAAGAGACCGCAGUGCAGGAAAAUAAAGAUGUUUUCCACAGUGGGAGCUGCCAGCGGGGGACUGCUGUCCCCAGAACCCCGCAUUCCAUCCUCCAACAAAUACUGACUGGGGGUCUACCGUGUUCCAGGGGCUUCCAACGCUAGUUCCUUAGGGAAUCAAAUCUCUGGUGCCAGGUGAAAACGAACCUGACCUGCAAUCCAGGACGUCGAGAAACCUGACAACAAAGACACCUGUGGCUUGGGGGAGCUCCCGGAGCCACCACAAGAGCAGGUGAGUCUGGCGUCCCUGCCUGUGGCUGGAGAACACAGGCGAGCCGUGGGCCCGUGGGGGCCGAGCUUGGGAGCCAAGCCCCGGCCCCAGGGGGUUGUUACUGGGACAUUGUCGCUAGGCCGCGCCACCGGCUCCUUGCGAGCUUGCAGACCACAGACGCAGCACAGGCUGGAGCUGUUGGCGCAUCAGACCCUGGAUGCGAGUAACCCCGAACCCCGAGUCCAGCCCCGGGUCGCGCGCCCACUGGUCAGUGCAGGCGGCCGUGCCGCGGGAAAAUUCAGAGCCGAGCGGGGCGCGCUCCCGACGGAGGCGCAAAGCACGCACAUGGCCACGGCCACGGCGCCCACGCAAGGACCGGCUGCUCUGUGAGGUCACCGUACGAACCGAGGAGCGGCGCCUUCCUUAUAUGCGGGGGACCAAACCCAGGGAACGAGGAGGAGGGAAGAAACGUCGCCCCAGGACUCAUGCGGCUAACUGCAGGUGCAGCCGCGGCCCGGCUUCCGGGGACUCGCCACAGAGUUAUGUGAAGGCUAUUAUUUUUCAAGAGAAGAGCACAGGACGAUUAAAGAAGCCAGGCUAAAAGAGGAAGAAGCCAGCAGAGGUAGCAAUAAUUUGAAGUUCUAGUGCAUUUCUGUGCUUAAAAUAAUCCACUUCCAGACUGCCCCACUUGCCACAGAACUGCGUCCUCACUGCCUGCCCACAGCUGCAGUUGGGGAACAGAACCAGAAGAAACCGUGUUCCUUGGCAAGUAGCCCUUCCCGUCUGUUUCCUCUGCCAACACUGCAGGUUUCUCACGCAACCAAAAACACAUAAAAAUGAGGUGGAAGGUUGAUAAUAGAGAAACCAAGAUAAAAACCAAAGAAGGCGGGGGGAAGGAUGUGGGCUUUCUGCAGAUAGCGCAGCCAUCAUUCCAGAAGCGGAAAAUCAACGGCCAAGAGAAGUUUUUUAUUGGACUUAGGCAACCAACACCUGACCAGUCCUGUGGCCACUGGAUGUAGUUCCUGUGUGGGGCUGGGAUGUGAAAUUAGAGGAAGCAGCAUGGGACUCGCCUCCAGGAUCUCACGGUGCACCAGGGGUGAUGGUAGACACAACGCUGGCCCACCCGCCCUACUUUCCAGAAUCUGUGACAUGUUGCCUUAUGUGGCAUAAAGCACUUUGCAGAUGUGAUUAAGUUAAGGGUCUUAGGUGCAGACACCAUCUUGGAAUAUUCGGGUGGGUCCAAUGUAAUCACAAGGGUCCUUCUAAGGGAAAGAGGGAGGAAGGAGUGCGAGAGAAGAUGUGAUGAUCAGGCAGAGGGGAGAGAAAGAGAGAUUUGGAGAUGGUACAUUUGUGGCUCAAGAAAGAGGAAGGAGCCAUGAGCCAAGGAACUGAAGGGCCUCUAGAUGCUGGAAAAAGCAAGGAAGUGAAUUCCCCCCUAGAGCUCUUGGCUGGAACACAAUCCUGUCGACAUCUUGAUUUUAGCCCACUGGGCCCAUAUCAGACUUCUCCACAACUGUAGGACAAUUAAUCUAGGUUGUCUUAAGCCACUACAGUGUGGUUAUUUGCUACAGCAGCAGUAGGAAAUUAUACAGAAGGAGAAGAAAUUAGAGUAUGUGCCCCAGCCUGAGUCCCCCCCACCCAGCCCCCCGACCAGGGCACCAGCCUGAGUGCCCCCAUAGUCACAACCUGAUCAGGGCCUGGAAAUAAUAGUCUCUCCUUACCUGUCGCAGGGUGGUCACUGACCUCUGUUCCCACUUGCGGUGGGAGCGCCCUGCCCAAGGGUUUUCUUCACUCCAAAAACAUGUGGUUGGCCCCUUUACCUCCAUUAUUGACCACAAAUCUCAAGAGACUCAAAAGGCCUUAUGCUAGUCUGGAGAGAUUGAAUAUUGUGGAAAUCCUACUAGAGUAUUUUUCAGUACCUUCCCCUUCUGUGGAAAUAGGCGUGAGAAUCAGCUCCUCCGGUGGAGAACCCACUUAGAAUUCUCCGUCGGGCUAGGCACGUAGUGUUUAUGCUGCACCCACAUGGCAGCAACUGAUUAGAGACAGAAAGAUUUACUCACAAGAGACACUUUCCAAUAAUACUAUGAAAAAUACAUGUGGACAAGCCCUAUAUUAAGCAUUUGGAACAGAAAAAGUUGAUUUAAAGCCAUUCACUGAAGGAGCCAAAAAUAAUUGCCCAAGAGGCUUGGGAUAAAGCCAAAGAAAGCACAGAGCAAAGCCCACAAGAAACACACAAAGCCUAGAUGUACAUUAACUUCAAAAUGUGUAGCUUACACACCAAUUGAAGUUGGUCUUCCUGUCUUGUGCCCUAUAUAGAAAGAAACCAGAAAGGAGGUAAUAUACAGCCCCCCAAGUGCAAGUCAAGAGGUGUGAAGAACCCCCAGUGGCUCAGGGUGUAAUCUGUACAGCAGGUUCUUUAUGUGGCAAAGACAGAGCAGACUUCAUUUACUCUACAGGCUUUGAUGGCAGGUGUGGCCACAAGAAAGGUGGCCAGGUGGUACCGGACGGAGCUCUGCCCAUCAUUUGUGCCCCAGGGUGCCAAGUGCCGUGCUGAGCAGUGGGGACCCGCGGGUGCACGCGGCCGUCCUGCACACCGCAGACCCUCACCAAGUGAGUAGGGGGUCGCAAGUGGAGCAGCUGCAGAGAUGUAAGUAAUUAAUUACAAUCUCGAAUGUGGAACAAUGACUUGAGACCCCACGGGACACACUUGGUGCACAAUUGAUGGUCUUGUCGUACUCAGCAGAUGGCUAAGCUACAGUGUUUAGGUUGACGAAACUUUGAGGGUGGGGCUGGGGAAGAGAGGGGCUGAUUAAGCUUAAAGGAUUUGGAGGGAGUGAGAGAAUAAAUAGGGAUGAAACAGCAGCUGUGGGGAAAAGAAUCUUGAAGAAGGAACAGAAAUGUUUUAAAGGGGAUUUUAGGAAUUCGUGUGAUUUGCGAUAUAACAUUCUUCUCCAGCAUUCAGUAAAAUGAACAUCAUUCAUCCAUCCUUCUGGAAUUUGUGGGAGAAUUUUGAGUUGCAAAGAUGUGCAGGUGAACCACCUAACACUCAUUUGGGCAGCGCAGAAUGGAAAUACCCAAGAUAAUAGUGGCUUAAAUGAAAUACACAUGUAUUCUUCUCUCAAGUAAAGGAAGUCCGUAAGCUGUCCAAGGCUGGUCCAUGAUGGUCCAUGAUGAUAAGAUCCAAGGACCUUGCAAUCUUCUGCUCCAUUUUUCAAGUGGUGGCUUCCAUACUCAAGAACACUUUGUUAUCCAAAAUAGCUGCUGGAACUCCGUUCAUCACAUCAGGCUUCCAGGCAGCUGGAACCUGGAAGGUGCGAAGGGCCAAAAAAGUGUACCAGUUCUUUUCAAUAAAAUUAGGAUUCUAUUAUUAAGGAAGAAGAGAGUGGCCAUUGCACACCAGCGGAGCGGUCUCUCACACACUUACUCUGGCCUGAGAGCGGGAGUGGAGUGAAAAGCAAGAAUCUCUGUGAGUUCCUAAUGUGACAAAGCUGCUGUGAGGAGAUACAGAAAGGUCCAUGAGCCAUAGAGGUAAGUGGGCUGGAUUCUGGCUGGGCAAGCGCCAAGGGGUUCCCCAGGGGCUCCCAUUGGAAUUGAGUCUUGAGGCAUGAACAAGAGUGUGCGGGCAAGAGGGGGGUGGCACUGCGGCAGGGAAAACGGGACGCCCCCACUGUUCAGACUGGCAUCCCUCCGGCUCUGACUCCAACUCUGUCCUCUUCCUCCUGGCACAUUUCCGGGAGGGGAGACUCGUGCACCACCGGCCCCUUCACCAGAGCCCUCCGAAGUGACCACAGCUUUCUCCGUCCAGCUCUGCAGGGGCCAGGGCGAAUGCUGCCCUCCCAUCCUCUCCCCACCUCCAUCACUGCUGCCUCUCCUUCUGAAGAGGGGCCAACUCCCAUUUUUCACUCCCAGACACUUCUGGAAAUUCCGCCCCAAGUGAUCAAGGAUUCGAACCAACCUGCUCAGUGGAACCCACGGACCCUUGGCUACCCAAGAGCUCUCACUUGGAAAAUUAGGCUCUAUGUGUAUGAAAUAAAGCUUUGGUUUCUGUUU